rnacentral:snoRNA from 1 species
UCCCAGUGAAGAAACUUUCACAAGUUUCACCUUCUUCCCUAGUUUCAGAGCCUUAAAGGUAAACUCAGUGGGACAGAUUAUAGGAAAAGAAGAAAAAUUGUUAGGAU